rfam:Triticum aestivum genome assembly, contig: Triticum_aestivum_CS42_TGACv1_scaffold_624199_7DS
GUAUUACUCCCUCUGAUCCAUAUUACUUGUCUUAGAUUUGUCUAGAUACGGAUGUAUCUAGACACGUUUUAAUGUUAGAAACAUCCGUACCUAGACAAAUCUAAGACAAGUAAUAUGAAUCGGAGGGAGUAUUUG